rnacentral:lncRNA from 1 species
AGUAGUUCCCUUCAGAGUCUCUAAGGCCUAAUUACGAAUUCUUCGGUGUUACUGUGUUCCCUCUGGCCACAUGUUUCAUGCAGGUACUGUUUGUCAAAGCCCCAAAGGCCACCCUUUCAGGUGUGUGUUUCUGUAGGUCACGGUGACGAGCUUGUGUGGUGUGUCCCUCCUGGCCACCUGUCAUUCCCAGCUUACCUCCCUGGGAGCAGCGACUUAUGCUGGGUCGGAGCCAUUGUGCUGCGGUCCAGACUCACACUACCCUCGGGGUCUGCUGGUCACAGCAUCCACGUCCGGUGUUGCUGCCUGCCGGUUUACUGGGUGGCCACACUCAUCCCUUUUGUGCUAGCCCAACUUUAUUUACCUGUUAAUGAAAUCAAGAUACGCUAAG